rnacentral:rRNA from 1 species
CCUACGGGGUGCAGCAGUGGGGAAUAUUGGACAAUGGGCGAAAGCCUGAUCCAGCCAUGCCGCGUGUGUGAAGAAGGCCUUCGGGUUGUAAAGCACUUUCAGUGGGGAAGAAAGCCUUGGGGCUAAUACCCUCGAGGAAGGACAUCACCCACAGAAGAAGCACCGGCUAACUCCGUGCCAGCAGCCGCGGUAAUACGGAGGGUGCGAGCGUUAAUCGGAAUUACUGGGCGGAAAGCGCGCGUAGGCGGUCUGAUAAGCCGGUUGUGAAAGCCCCGGGCUCAACCUGGGAACGGCAUCCGGAACUGUCAGGCUAGAGUGCAGGAGAGGAAGGUAGAAUUCCCUGUGUAGCGGUGAAAUGCGUAGAGAUCGGGAGGAAUACCAGUGGCGAAGGCGGCCUUCUGGACUGACACUGACGCUGAGGUGCGAAAGCGUGGGUAGCAAACAGGAUUAGAUACCCUUGUAGUC